rnacentral:lncRNA from 1 species
AAAAAAAUGUAAUGUUUAAACAGGCUACUGCAAGCGUUAAAUUAAAUUUUAAUGCAUAAUUUUAUUUUUCACUACAGGUGGUUACCCUAAGCACACAAAAGUAACUAAAAAUUGGCCUUUUUUUGUCUGUAGGUAUUAAAUUGUAGCACAUUAAAGUUUUCCAAAAUUUUUCUAAUAUUGUGUUGUUAAGCAAUUUUGAGAUACAAUAACACAAAAACUAUUUAAAAUUAGUCAAAAAUACUUGAAAAUAUAGAUUUUAUAAGUAUAAAAAUGAAUAUAAAAUUUCAGGUAAUCACUUUUUAUUGAAAAAGUUAUGAUCUGUCAAAAAUCAAAAAUAUACUAAAAUUUUCAUGGUUUAUCCAAUCAAGGCGAUAUGUUUAGGAUUUUAUUUUUUCCAUAAAUCUGUGGGUGUGGAGAGAGUAAAACACUCUCCCAUCUUCAUGAUUUUCUGAUUCAUACAACUUUUUAAGUUUACUAAUCGUUUCCUUGUUCUUUAACUCUUUAACUCUGUUAUAAUUUUUUUUAGUAACUUCUAACUUAAUAUUGGUUGCUUGAAGCCUUGAUAGUAGUAAAUUAAAAAGAUUUGUGUCCUGUCAAUUUUUAGCAUGCAUUUUUUCCUUCAUUGAGAUUAGUUGCUUUUAUAUAGAUGCUAAUUAAAUCAGCUAUAAUUAGGUGGAAAUAUAUAGUUAUAUAAUAAUAAAAAAUUUAUUGAUUUAUUUUUCUUUAAAGUAGUUUUUGUUGAUUUAUUUUGUAAUUUUGUUUUUAUUGAUUUUUAACAAAGAAAUUUUAAAAUUAUUUUGCUUUUAGAAAAUUCUAUACUAAAUAAAUAAUAAGUAUAGAAUUCCAGUCAGAUCCAGUUCAUGUUGCAGCUAGUGAUGUUUCAUUGGAUCAUCAUUUUGCUAUGAAUUAAAUUAUUGUGGAUGGUAAACGAUUUUAUGCCUCUUUGCUCUUUAUGGUAUUGAAUCAGGCACUGAAUUGCACUAUGAUUAUCAUGAUAAUAAAAGUGUAUGGUGGAGAAAGCAGAAUGGUUUUUCUUAAAACAAACAUGGAAGGAUUAGUAUACAGAUUGCUGUAUAAAAACUAUUUUACAUUGUACUCUCUCGUAAUAUAUUUAAGUGUUGUAUUGAUUUUAAUCUGUUCACUUCCAAAUCUCUGUUUACUCAAAUUUGCUCUGUUUACAAUUAAAAAAGCAAUUAAAAAAUAGCUCAUAAACAAACUCAAAAACAGAUCAAUUUAAAGAAAUGCAUAUCUACUAUUCAUACAAGUUAUAUUAAAAGGUAAAUUUUUAAAUUAAUUUGUUAUAAUUUAAUUCAAAUUACUAAUAUUGUCAACUUGAUUAUUCUAUUGCUUAUUCAAUUAAUUAUUUUUAUUUAAUUAACUAUUGUUUAUUCAAUUAACUAAUUUUAAUCGAAUUAUAUGAUGAAAUAACUCAAUGAAAUAUUUUUGUUGUCCUUUAAAAUUUAGCAAUAAAAAUUAACAAAAAUAAAACUUCUUGACUCUGACCCAAUUUGUUGUUUGCAGAAAAAAAGGUUCAUUUUAAAGUUAAUUUAAGAAAAUGUUUUAAAUAAAUUAUUUUUGACUAUGAAUUACAUUAGAUGUCACAUUUAAACUAUUGGUUUCUAAUAUCAUUGACUUAACAAUUGAAAGGGUCAUUUUAGAGACACUAUAAGUCAAUUUUGGAAAAUAAUGAUGGAUCACAGGGAAUAUGUUACAUGAGGCUAGAUACGUGUUACAUACAUGUCAGACCUUUCCGUCAACACUUUAAAGGCGUGGGCUGAAGAGUCUGACUAAUGUAAUUUCUAAAAAUGAUUUAUGAUGUUUUUAAAAUUAAACAAUAAAUUAUUGAGUGUUCAAGCUUCUUGCAUAUGUGAAAUCAUCACCAUUAUCAUAGAUAAUAAUUUUGGAACAAACCCACCAGCCUAACUAAAGGUAUCUCUGAAAUAGUUAGAUUUUUGUCUUAUUCUUGCUAUCCUAAGCUCUUGCUUUCAUUCCAGCUUUCCAACACUGAAAUGAUGGUAAAAAAUCUUUUUUUGUCUCUGCAAUUAAUCAUAAAUGUCUUUGUUAAAUAAUUCCAUGAAUAAACUAACACUGAACACUUUAAAGAGAUCUUCCUAAACAAAAUAACAAGAAAAGUAAAAAAAAUUCUAAACCCUGAUGCACACCAAUUUUGUUCUUAUAACUAACUGAUUGCUGUUGUGACAUUUUCAUGCAUAGUAAUGGUAGCUGUUAUCAUUCUUCAACCAAUAAAUACCUCACAGCCCACAACAAUUUUUUUUUAAUAUAAUGUGAAAAAUUUUUAAAGAAAAAAAAUACUACUCUUUUAAACUAGUCCAAGAAUAAAUAUUGUUGGAUAAUAAAUAUUAUAAAAAUGUAAAUCUAUUGUUUUUUAAUUGAUGGAAAUUCUUUUAUGUAGCAAGUCACAUGUUACUUUUAUGUUGUCAAAUAUGAACUAAACAAAAAAGAUCUUUUUUUGAAAAUUCUGAGAUAUCAGAUGAAUAUUUAGGCAAUUAACUUUAAUUUGCUUCUUAAAAGCAAGUUUCUUGGGUAUCAUCAGAGAUGUUAGAUAAUUACUUAAUUAUUCAACUAGAAUUCAAAAAAAGUUUUCAACAAGCAAUGAAAGAAUUUAUGUUAAAAGAUUUAUUGCUUCCAAAUUAUAACUUAUAAAGGUAGGUAAUAUUUAGGUAAAUUUUAUUAGUUAAUAAAUUUUUAAUAGGUAAAUUUUAUUAGUUAAUAAAUUUGGAAAGUUCUUCAAUAGUACUGUUUUUUUUAAACUGGAUUUUGUCUAUUCUUUUGGUUUUAACUGCUUAAUGUAAUAAUUAAAAAUUAAAUAUAUUUUUUUAAAAGGUAAAGUUUUUUCAUAUAUAAUUA